rnacentral:rRNA from 1 species
GUGUCAGCAGCCGCGGUAAUACGUAGGGGGCAAGCGUUGUCCGGAAUUAUUGGGCGUAAAGCGCGCGCAGGCGGUUUUUUAAGUCUGGUGUCUAAGGCCGAGGCUCAACCUCGGUUCGCACUGGAAACUGGAAGACUGGAGUGCAGGAGAGGAAAGCGGAAUUCCACGUGUAGCGGUGAAAUGCGUAGAGAUGUGGAGGAACACCAGUGGCGAAGGCGGCUUUCUGGCCUGUAACUGACGCUGAGGCGCGAAAGCGUGGGGAGCAAACAGGAUUAGAUACCCCGGUAGUCC